UACGGAGGGAGCUAGCGUUAUUCGGAAUUACUGGGCGUAAAGCGCACGUAGGCGGCUUUGUAAGUAAGAGGUGAAAGCCCAGAGCUCAACUCUGGAAUUGCCUUUUAGACUGCAUCGCUUGAAUCAUGGAGAGGUCAGUGGAAUUCCGAGUGUAGAGGUGAAAUUCGUAGAUAUUCGGAAGAAACACCAGUGGCGAAGGCGGCUGACUGGACUGGUAUUGACGCUGAGGCGCGAAAGCGUGGGGAGCAAACAGG
rnacentral:rRNA from 1 species